rnacentral:misc_RNA from 1 species
CGCCCGCCGGAGGACCAACUCCAAACUCUUUUUUUCUCUCCGUCGCGGCUCCCGUCGCGGCUCUGUUUUAUUUUUGCUCUGAGCCUUUCUCGGCGACCCUAGCGGGCGUCUCGAAAAUGAAUCAAAACUUUCAACAACGGAUCUCUUGGUUCUGGCAUCGAUGAAGAACGCAGCGAAAUGCGAUAAGUAAUGUGAAUUGCAGAAUUCAGUGAAUCAUCGAAUCUUUGAACGCACAUUGCGCCCGCCAGUAUUCUGGCGGGCAUGCCUGUCCGAGCGUCAUUUCAACCCUCGAACCCCUCCGGGGGGUCGGCGUUGGGGAUCGG